rnacentral:rRNA from 1 species
CCUACGGGUGGCAGCAGUGGGGAAUAUUGCACAAUGGGGGAAACCCUGAUGCAGCGACGCCGCGUGAGUGAAGACGUCUUUCGGUAUGUAAAGCUCUAUCAGCAGGGAAGAAAAUGACGGUACCUGAUUAAGAAGCCACGGCUAACUACGUGCCAGCAGCCGCGGUAAUACGUAGGGGGCCAGCGUUAUCCGGAUUUACUGGGUGUAAAGGGGGCGUAGACGGGAGCACAAGUCUGGAGUGAAAUGCCGGGGCUGAACCCCGGAACUGCUUUGGAAACUGUGUAGCUAGAGUGCAGGAGAGGUAAGUGGAAUUCCUAGUGUAGCGGUGAAAUGCGUAGAAAUUAGGAGGAACACCAGUGGCGGAGGCGGCUUAAUGGACUGUAACUGACGUUGAGGCUCGAAAGCGUGGGGAGCAAACAGGAUUAGAUACCCUUGUAGUC